CAAAGAUCAGCCACGUGGCAGUCAACCAUGUCUAUCUGACCAAGUUCCAAUGAAAACUCUGGACACCAAGGCUUGGGAGAUAUUUCUCAAAAGACUCCUCUGCGGGAGAGGAGAAUAGCUGUACUCUAAGCAGUUCGCAGGGAGCAUCUUUCAGCAGCUGAAACAGCUUUGCGGCCUUGCUGUAAUGAAGAUCUGCCAGCACCCGGUGUUGUUUCCUAAGGUGUUCAUCACCAACCUAGAACCAAACCAAAACAAGCAACAAAUCCUUCACGAGAAAGAAAGAAAACAACUGUGUAAGCAGACAUCAGUGUAAACCUUAGCACUGUCUCUUGAUGAGAUAAGAGGAGGAUGGCAGUGACAGGAGUGUGGUGGCGAGCCAGUCACCUGCAGUCAACCACGGCUCAUUGCUCUCACCAUGCCUGUUACAUGAAGUUUCAGGCAUCCACUGGGGAUCUUGGAACGCAUCCUCCAAGGAUAAGUGGGGUCUACUGUACAACACUUAAGUAUAACCCUCUUCACUAUUAACCAAAUGAUAUUAAAAUAAGCAAAGAAAAACA
rnacentral:lncRNA from 1 species